rnacentral:rRNA from 1 species
CGGGCCCGCACAAGCAGCGGAGCGUGUGGUUUAAUUCGAUGUUACACGAAGAACCUUACCUGGGUUUUGACAUGCUAGUGGUAAUGAAGCGAAAGCUAAGUGACCCGCAAGGGAGCUAGCACAGGUGCUGCAUGGCUGUCGUCAGCUCGUGUCGUGAGAUGUUCGGUUAAGUCCGCUAACGAGCGCAACCCUCGCUGUGUGUUAUAUGUGUCACACGGGACUGCCGGUCUUAAGCCGGAGGAAGGUGGGGAUGAUGUCAAGUCAGCAUGGCCUUUAUAUCCUGGGCUACACACAUGCUACAAUGGCCAACACAAUAGGUUGCUAAGCCGCGAGGUGGCGCCAAUCCAUAAAGUUGGUCUCAGUUCAGAUUGUAGGCUGCAACCCGCCUGCAUGAAGAUGGAGUUGCUAGUAACCGCAGGUCAGCUAUACUGCGGUGAAUACGUUCCCGGGGCUU